AUUGAACGCUGGCGGCAUGCCUUACACAUGCAAGUCGAACGGCAGCACGGGAGCAAUCCUGGUGGCGAGUGGCGAACGGGUGAGUAAUAUAUCGGAACGUGCCCAGUCGUGGGGGAUAACGUAGCGAAAGCUACGCUAAUACCGCAUACGAUCUAUGGAUGAAAGCGGGGGGAUCGCAAGACCUCGCGCGAUUGGAGCGGCCGAUAUCAGAUUAGGUAGUUGGUGAGGUAAAGGCUCACCAAGCCGACGAUCUGUAGCUGGUCUGAGAGGACGACCAGCCACACUGGGACUGAGACACGGCCCAGACUCCUACGGGAGGCAGCAGUGGGGGAAUUUUUGGACAAUGGGCGGCAAGCCUGAUCCACGCAAUGCCCGCGUGCAGGA
rnacentral:rRNA from 1 species